rnacentral:ncRNA from 2 species
CGUUAUCCUAAGGGGCGGCCAAUUUAUUGGCCUGAGAAGUACCCUUUGAACCUGAUCCGGAUUAUGCCGGCGUAGGAAUAGGAAAUCUUGACUGG